ensembl:snRNA U6 U6 spliceosomal RNA
UUGUGCACCAGGCCUCUAGUAUAUUAUAAUUGGAAUGAUACAGAGGAGAUUAGAAUGGCCCCUGCAUAAGGGUGACACGUAAAUUCGUGACGUGUUCCAUAUUUUU